rnacentral:lncRNA from 1 species
UCGAGACUCAGAAAUAGUCACAACAACAACAACAACAACAACAACAAAGCCUUUUCCCACUAAGUGGGGUCGGCUAUAUGAAUCCUAGAACGCCAUUGCGCUCGGUUUUGUGUCAUGUCCUCCGUUAGAUCCAAGUACUCUAAGUCUUUUCUUAGAGUCUCUUCCAAAGUUUUCCUAGGUCUUCCUCUACCCCUUUGGCCCUGAACCUCUGUCCCGUAGUCACAUCUUCGAACCGGAGCGUCAGUCGGCCCUCUUUGCACAUGUCCAAAUCAUCGGAGCCGAUUUUCUCUCAUCUUUCCUACAAUUUCGGCUACUCCUACUUUACCUCGGAUAUCCUCAUUCCCAAUCUUAUCCUUUCUCGUGUGCCCACACAUCCCACGAAGCAUCCUCAUCUCCGCUACACCCAUUUUGUGUACGUGUUGAUGCUUCACCGCCCAACAUUCUGUGCCAUACAACAUCGCUGGCCUUAUUGCCGUCCUAUAAAAAAUUUUCCCUUGAGCUUCAGUGGCCUACGACGGUCACACAACACGCCGGAUGCACUCUUACACUUCAUCCAUCCAGCUCGUAUUCUAUGGUUGAGAUCUCCAUCUAAUUCUCCGUUCUCUUGCAAGAUAGAUCCUAGGUAGCGAAAACGGUCGCUUUUUGUGAUCUUCGCUAGAUUGCUCCGGUCAUUAGUGUGGAUAAGUAUAUAAAUGGAUAGAGAUAGGAAAGCAAACACAAGAUGUACGUGGUUCACCCAGAUUGGCUACGUCCACAGAAUAGAAGAGUUCUCAUUAAUUGUGAAGGGUUUACACAAGUACAUAGGUUCAAGCUCUCCUUUAGUGAGUACAAGUGAAUGAUUUUGUACAAAUGACAUUAGGAAAUAUUGUGGGAGAAUGAUCUCGUAAUCACGAAACUUCUAAGUAUCGGAGUGUGGUGUCGUCUUGACUUGCCUUAUCUGUCUCAUAGGUAGAUGUGGCAUCUUCUCUGAAAGUACUCUUCCUCCAUCCAGGGGUGGUAUCUUUAACUGGUGGAGAUGCACAAGGUAAUGUAUCAAUUUCACUUGAAGCUUACUUGUAGUCUCAGGCUUGGUCAAGCGCGAUACAAACCAUGUAGUAGGAGUCCCCCAAGUCGCCGAGCUAGGGGGUCUGCUGAAAGAGGUGACAGACAAGGUAAGCAAUCAGAGCUCCGACUGAUUGUUCACCUUCUCCCCAUCUUGCAGCAGCAUGAAGGAUAAAGAGAAGAAAAAUGAGAAGAGAUGAUAUGAGAUACUUUUGCUUUUGAAGAAGUAACUUUCCACAGGCUUAUUCUUGAACUGAGCUGGAGGGUUUUCUGGUUUCCUCCAGAGUAUAAGGCCGACUGAAGAAUUUGAGGGUCAAAACAAGUCCAUCAAAUCUAGAGUACGUUCCACCCUACUGAUAUGGGAUACUUUUGCUUUUGACAGAGUAAUGGGUGUAUCGGCACGUGUGCUGUUACGCUUGUCUCCACAUGCUUCCUUGUAUCCUUCGCACUUGCCCUAUCUGUUCCUCAAGCAGAUGCAGAAUCUUCCCUGGAAACAUAAGAUGUUGAAGAUGAGUACUCGAGAGCAAUGCCAGGUAAGUAAUCAGGUAAGGGGUUCCAGGCAGUCAGUUCCUGGCUGGAAGCUUGAUUCCAAGUGCUGACUGAUUGCUCUCUUUCUCCUUGUCUUGCAGGUAAAAACAAGGCCAAAGGAAAAGACAGGGAAAAAGCAUGAUAUGAGAUACUCUUGCUUUUAACCCUGAUGAUAUGAGAUAUUCUUGCUCUAGUAUAGCUUGUUUGCAGAGGUAUUAUUAUCGGGGGGAAAGAAAGCUGAAUAUUUCGAAAGGCUUCGUUGGGAGUGCCCUCUCAGAUAUGAUGAAGGGUUGAGCAUUUUUGCAGGUCUGCCUGUCCGUUGGGGAUGGAGGUCGACAUAUAUAGGAGUCUCCCUAACAACAAGUAGUAAUGCUAUUCCUUUACCCUGCUUGGUCAUAGCACGGUAGUGGGAGCUGCCAGUUGCAAUGGUACUGUUCCUUUACCCUCUCUCUUCGCUUUUGAGAAAGUAGUCAUGUUGGGAGUCUGGCUCUCGAGAUUCGGAGGACGGUGCCUCUUCGAUUUUGGAGCAAGCAAUCUUGUUGGGAGUGUUUUCUCGAAAGUGAGUAAAGGUUGGGCAUGUUUGCUAGUCUACCUUGCCACGAAGCACAGAGGUUGACACACACAAGGACUUUCCAAUUAUCCAGCAGUGGUACUGUUCCUUUACCCUUGUGGGUAAUAAUAUGGUAGCUAGACCUUCAACAUUUAUGUGUCUAAACUUUGUUAGUGCUGUUUCUUUGCUAUUCUUUUACCUUUCUUGGUCAGAGCGAUGUAGUGGGAGCUGCAAGCUUCACGUGCUCAACUUUGGCAGAGAACUUUGGCAAAGUUAUCUGUGGUACCCAUGAGCUAUUGUUGCGUGUGGGAAGUGGGUGAUUGAACAGUAAGAUUCAUGUGCUUUCUACUUCACCAGAAGUCUUCGACAGAAUGCCCAUAAUUUCUGCAAAGCUGAGUGUGCGUGUGACAGGUGCUGACAAGGCUAGAAAAGUAGGUGCCUCUUCGAUUUCUGAGAUCGGCCCUCGUGGUCUCUGAGCAGCCCAGCUUUUGAGAAAGCGAGCGCCUCUUCGAUUGAUUCGGAGAACGAUGCCUCAUCGAUUUUUGAGAAAGCAAUCAUGCUGGGGGUCUGGCUCUCGAAGAUUCGGGGAGCAGUGUCUCUUCGAUUUUUGAGAAAGUAAUCACGUUGGGAGUCUGGCUCUCGAGAUUCGAAGGGUGGUGCCUCUUCGAUUUUGGAGCAAGCAAUCUUGUUGGGAGUGUUUUCUCGAAUGUGAGUAAAGGUUGGGCAUGUUUGCUAGUCUACCUUGCCACGAAGCACAAAGGUUGACACACAGAGACUUUCCAAUUAUCCAGCAAUGGUACUGUUCCUUUACCCUCUCUUCGAUUUUUAAGAAAGUAGUCAUGUUGGGAGUCUGGCUCUCGAGAUUCGGAGGACGGUGCCUCUUCGAUUUUGGAGCAAGCAAUCUUAUUGGGAGUGUUUUCUCGAAUGUGAGUAAAGGUUGGGCAUGUUUGCUAGUCUACCUUGCCACGAAGCACAGAGGUUGACACACAGGGACUUUCCAAUUAUCCAGCAGUGGUACUGUUCCUUUACCCUUGUGGGUAAUAAUAUGGUAGCUAGACCUUCAAAAUUUAUGGGUCUAAACUUUGUUAGUGCUGUUUCUUUGCUAUUCUUUUACCCUUCUUUGGUCAGAGCGAUGUAGUGGGAGCUGCAAGCUUCACGUGCUCAACUUUGGCAGAGAACUUUGGCAAAGUUAUCUGUGGUACCCAUGAGCUAUUGUUGCGUGUGGGAAGUGGGUGAUUGAACAGUAAGAUUCAUGUGUUUUCUACUUCCCCAGAAGUCUUCGACAGAAUGCCCAUAAUUUCUGCAAAGCUGAGUGUGCGUGUGACGGGUGCUGACAAGGCUGGAAAAGUAGGUGCCUCUUCGAUUUCUGAGAUUGGCCCUCGUGGUCUCUAGGGAGCCCAGCUUUUGAGAAAGCGAGCGCCUCUUCGAUUUCUGAGAUCGGCCUUCGUGGUCUUUGAGCAGCCCAACUUUUGAGAAAGCAAAUGCCUCUUCGAUUUCUGAGAUCAACCCUCGUGAUCUCUAAGCAGCCCAGCUUUUGAGAAAGCAAACGCCUCUUCGAUUUCUGAGCAGGCGCCUCUUCGAUUUCUGAAGCUCCGUCGAGUGCAGAUUUUUAUAGAGGCUGACAUUAAGUUCCAAAGCACACUUGAAUCUCCACCAGUAGAAGCUUCAUUCUUGCACUUCUAAGAUCUUGAUUUGUCCGACCUCUUCUCUCUUCAACACCUUUGAAAAUGUCUGGCCCCUCCGACCGUCGUUUUGACUUGAACCUUGUUGAAGAGGCAGCCCCGCCUUCUCCAGACAACAUAUGGCGCCCAUCCUUCGUCUCCCCUACUGGUCCUCUUACCGUUGGGGAUUCCGUGAUGAAGAAUGAUAUGACCGCUGCGGUGGUGGCCAGGAACCUUCUCACUCCCAAGAGAUAACAGACUACUUUCCAAACGGUCUGAUGAGUUAGCUGUUAAGGAUUCGCUGGCUCUCAGUGUUCAGUGUGCAGGUUCUGUGUCUAAUAUGGCCCAACGCCUAUUUGCUCGAACCCGCCAAGUUGAAUCCUUGGCGGCUGAAGUGAUGAGUCUCAAACAGGAGAUUAGAGGGCUCAAGCAUGAGAAUAAACAGUUGCACCGGCUCGCACAUGACUAUGCUACAAACAUGAAGAGGAAGCUUGACCAGAUGAAGGAAACUGAUGGUCAGGUUUUACUUGAUCAUCAGAGAUUUGUGGGUUUGUUCCAAAGGCAUUUAUUGCCUUCGUCUUCUGGGGCUGUACCGCGUAAUGAAGCUCCGAAUGAUCAACCUCUGAUGCCUCCUCCUUCUAGGGUUUUGUCCAGUACUGAGGCUCCAAAUGAUCCCCCUCCGGUGCCUUCUCUUUCUGGGGCUCUACCGACUGCUGAGACUUCUCCUAAGCAACCUUUGUGAAGGCUCCGUCUUGUGUGUUUAUUUUGACUCAUGUAUAUGUACAUAUUUGUAGCUGAUCGGGGAUAUCAAUAAAUAAGCUUUCCUUCAUUUCAACGUAUUGUGUUAAAUACACCAAAGCCUUCUUCGCUAAGUUCUUUGAAUUUUCUUUUGUUGAAGCUUGUAUGUUGAAGCUUUCUGAGUGGAGCAUGUAGGUUGGGGUAGUGUUCCCUUAAUUUCCCGAGUGAGGAAAACUUCUCGGUUGGAGACUUGGAAAAUCCAAGUCACUGAGUGGGAUCGGCUAUAUGAAUCUUAGAACGCCAUUGUGCUCGAUCCUGUGUCAUGUCCUUCGUUAGAUCCAAGUACUCUAAGUCUUUUCUUAGAGUCUCUUCCAAAGUUUUCCUAGGUCUUCCUCUACCCCUUCGGCCCUGAACCUCUGUCCCAUAGUCGCAUCUUCUAAUCGGAGCGUCAGUAGGCCUUCUUUGCACAUGUCCAAACCACCGUAACCGAUUUUCUCUCAUCUUUCCUUCAAUUUCGGCUACUCCUACUUUACCCCGGAUAUCCUCAUUCCUAAUCUUAUCCUUUCUCGUGUGCCCACACAUCCAACGAAGCAUCCUCAUCUCCGCUACACCCAUUUUGUGUACGUGUUGAUGUUUCACCGCCCAACAUUCUGUGCCAUACAGCAUCGCCGGCCUUAUUGCCGUCCUAUAAAAAUUUUCCCUUGAGCUUCAAUGGCAUACGGCGGUCACACAACACGCCGGAUGCACUCUUCCACUUCAUCCAUCCAGCUUGUAUUCUAUGGUUGAGAUCUCCAUCUAAUUCUCCGUUCUUUUGCAAGAUAGAUCCUAGGUAACGAAAACGGUCGCUUUUUGGUAUUUCUUGAUCUCCGAUCCUCACCCCUAACUCGUUUUGGCCUCCAUUUGCACUGAACUUGCACUCCAUAUAUUCUGUCUUUGAUCGGCUUAGGCGAAGACCUUUAGAUUCCAACACUUCUCUCCAAAGGUUAAGCUUUGCAUUUACCCCUUCCUGAGUUUCAUCUAUCAACACUAUAUCGUCUGCGAAAAGCAUACACCAAGGAAUAUCAUCUUGAAUAUGUCCUGUUAACUCAUCCAUUACCAACGCAAAAAGGUAAGGACUUAAGGAUGAGCCUUGAUGUAAUCCUACAGUUAUGGGAAAGCUUUCGGUUUGUCCUUCAUGAGUUCUUACGGCAGUCUUUGCUCCUUCAUACAUAUCCUUUAUAGCUUGGAUAUAUGCUACUCGUACUCCUUUCUUCUCUAAAAUCCUCCAAAGAAUGUCUCUUGGGACCCUAUCAUACGCUUUUUCCAAAUCUAUAAAGACCAUGUGUAAAUCCUUUUUCCCAUCUAUAAAGACUCAGAAAUAGUCACAACUGCACAAAUUAAAAUGAUGAGAACUUAUUAUUGAUGCAUGCGCAAUCAUAUACAAAUUUAUAGUAAAAGUGAAAUAAUCAAUUAAUGGACUCCUAGUAAACAUUUCUAGAGGUGACAAUUUGGGACUAGAGAUGGCAACAGGACGGAUUCAGAUCAAGGUUGCCAACAUCAUAACCGUAUCGCCAGGUAUACAAUCCCUAAUAUAGUACUCCCAAAUAAUCUAAUAACUUGAUAUUAUAUGUUCCAAUAAAAAAUAAAAAAAACUUGAUAUUGUAUGUAUAAAGCACAAUAAAACACACCACAUAAUAUUACUUAAUAGGAAAAUGUUGGGAAGAUCACAUAUUUUUGUGUCACAUUUAUGUAUCAUCUAAUGUGGCAACUGAGGUAUACACGUCACAUCAAUUUAUGAAUUUAUCUCACUGGAUGUUGAUUGUGUCCACCACUUGCCAUAUGAGAUGAUACACUAAUAUAGUAUAAAUAUGUAGUUUUUAUAGCAUUACUCUUUAAAUAAUAAAGCAUAAUAAAACAUACCAUAUAUGAUUGCAAAAAUCAUAUAUUAGUAUACAUUAUUUUUCUUAAAUUUUAACAUGUUGAACAAAUAAAUGGGCAGCUUUGGGAUUACCUUGCAAUCCUACGUUUCAAGACUCGAACUUGCACGAAUAUUGGACAUGAUCUGUAGCAAGAAGCAGUUUCAUGGGAGUCAAUCAGGUCAUGAGGGCACUUGUUUGCACUUAUGAUCAACAAAUCCAGACUGAACGAUGGAAUAAUUAAGCCUGAAAAGUGCACAGAUUAUAUAGAUGGUUAUUGAUAAAAUAAUUAAUUAAGCAUACAAACUUGAAGAAAAAUGAAAUAAAUAAAUAAUGGAUUUGGCAUAUAUAGUUGCAAGAGGAACUUACCGCGUUGGAGUUUUCAGAUGAUGAUGAAGAUGAAGGGACUUGUUUCCAUAGAUCAUUAAGAUCAACAGAUCUAGACUACUUUAGAGCUCUUCAAUUUGCUGAGAUAAUUAGGUGUUGAAACUGAAAGACCUAACGAAGUCUUCUUCCUUCUGCCCAAAAGGAAAGUUAGACUCCUCUUUUUCCUCUCUCUUUAUUUUUCGUGGGGUCAUAUUGUUUUAUCAUUUUGAUUGCUUUCUUAUCUCCUAUGUCCUACACGGUUAUUGCUUCUUUUUUUUUCAUUUGGAGAAAAUUGUGUCAAUGAUCUCUUAACUUUAAUCAAAUUAGAAUAAUGAUCUCUUAAUUAAAAAUUCAUGAUCAUUGAUCUCUUAACUCAUUAAAAUGUGCAGCUAAAGUCCAUUUCGUCAACACCGCUAAAAUUUCCGUCAAAAUGAGUCACGUGCUAGGCACAUGAGGCCGAAUCAAGAAGCAAAUAUGGAAAACUAAAUGAGAAAAUUGUAGAAAUAGUUUCUCAAUUUUAACUCAAUUGAAGCAAUGAUCUCUUAACUUUAAUACAAUUGUAGCAAUGUUUCUUUCAACUUGACUUGUUUUGACAAAAGUUAUGAUGAAGUUGAUAAAAAUGACUAUAGCUGCACGUUUUGGGAAGUUAAGAAACCAAUGAUCAUGUAUUUUUAAUUGAUAAACUAUUGCUACAAUUUCUUUUUUCCUUUAUGCGAUCGAUUUUGGAGAUGGUGAACCAAACAUGAAACUUCGGGUGCAAAGGUGACUCGUAAACAACUGAGCAACAUUCCCUUGCAAUGCUGAUCAUGUUAUUUUGUGAGCGUGAUUGGUUCAAUUUUUUGUAGGCCAUUGUAGGUAAUGUAGAGACAAUCAAUUUUAAACAGUAAAAAGACACUGAAACAACUUGGGCCAUACAACACAAAGAAGAAGAAAAUGCUCCUGCCGACACCAGAUUUACUGAAGUUACCAUGUAUUAUGCUUUACCAUCUUGUAGUUAUACUACUUAAUUACUCACAGAGCCAUAUUUGAUUAUGAUCAAUUUGAAGAUGAAGAGCAAGUUUUAUUAGCAUAUAAUUAAGGGAGUUUUAACGAAACACUUAUGGUACUGUUAACUUAAAAACUACAUUUGUACCUUUCUAUGGUACUAUUCAGUACACAUUUAAUUGUUAUUUUUCAUUAAAACUAAAGUUUUUUUGGACUUUUCGUUGGUUUUCCUUAUAAUUAAUGAACAUCUAGAUGUUUAAGGAAACGAGAGCAAGAUUUUCAUAAAGUGAAAAUACUAGCUUAUUAUGUUAAUUUUGAAGAUUAAGUGAGACGAAUUAAGCUUUAUGGAACUGAAUCAGUGACAAGUAAUUUUAGACUUAUGACAAGUAAUUUGUGUCUUUGCCAUGUGAAAUUUGCUUUUCACUAAUCAUUCUCCCCGCAAUAAAAUUAGUAGUGCUAAAGUGAAUCAAUAAAAUUAGUAGUGCUAAAGUGAACCAAUUCCGCAAAAUACAUAAAAACCAAAAAGAAAUGUUUUUUAUAUUAACACCCCACAAAAUGUUGAAUACACUCCAUAUUAAAAUUUAAUAUUAAAUAACUUAUUCCAUAUGAGAUGAUACACUAAUAUAUUAGUAUACAUAUGUAGUUUUUCUAGCAUUACUCUUUAAAUAAUAAAGCAUAAUAAAACAUACCAUAUAUGAUUGCAAAAAUCAUAUAUUAGUAUACAUUAUUUUUCUUGUUGUGACAUAUGUUCUUAUCAAUAUGUGAUUGUGUAAAUCCUAAGUAGAGAUAAAAUAGGAAUCCUUUGGGAUCUAGAAGAUCUUUCCUAAUAUACUUUGUAUUACUUGGAGAGCAAGUUUCUCUCCUCCUAAUUACUAUAAAUAAAGGCACAAUGACUGGAGAAUUAACACACAAUUCCUCAAGUCUAUUCUCCAAUCUCUCUUCUUCUCUUUGCCGCAUAUCUCUGUAAAAUAUAGGCCACAACACGUUAUCAGCACGCUCUUCACGCUGUGCUUAGAAGAAUUUAAAGAGAAUUUAUUCGUCUACAAUCAGGGGAGUAUUACGUUUCAAUUAUUUUUAAUUGAUUAAAUCUUGAUUUUAUUGAAUUCAUAUAUUGUUAUUGAUUCAAUUUAUUUUUCUUCUUAUGUUGAACGUGAUACAAGCUUGAAGAUGAAAGCCGAAAUUGAAGAAAAAUAAUUUUUUUCUGCAUCAAACCAGUUCAUUCAUAUCAUCACGCAAUCAGGUUCUUCCAAAACAACGGCUUUUUAACUCGAUAUUUUUGAAGCCCUGAUCGCAUGAACACAUUCACCAUGAUGCAUGACCCAACUUUACGUUUAACGUAUUUUAGAUUCUACAUAAAUUGUGUAUGCCUCAUAACCAAAAUUGCUGCAAUUAUGUGAAUUUGAUAUUUGCCAUGAAUUGAAACAUACAUAUGUAAAUGCAUUGAAACUAUUAUUUUGCAUAUGCAUCAAAUUACAUAUGUGUUUCAUUGAAAUAUAUAUACUAUUGAAUUAUAUAUGCAUUUAAUUGAAUUGAAAAAAAUUGAAAAAUUAGGGUUUCGAGACCCUAACCAGCGAGCUGCAGGCUUUAAGCCGCGCCGCUUUGUAAGCCAUAGGGCUGCGAUGCACUGGAGCAUAGCUCUGCUAUGCUGAGAACCCAACACGAUGCCGUUUGCGUCAUCCCCAACCCAGAAAACAUACCCUCGCCGGAAGCCGAGACCGUGGCGUUGCCAUUUUUUUUCUAGAUUUCACGACCUGCAGUCGUGAUAGUUUGGGGUUUCAUCGUCGACUACAACGAUGUUAUUUGAAUUUCCGUUGAAAUUCAAUACUAAAAUCGAAGAUUCCCGAAUCGAAUCCCUGGGUUCCACACUUCCCCGAUGUCGAGGACCCUCCUCCGUCGUUAUGAUUAGUUCUUGGAUGAACCACCAUGCCUCGAACUCACUCCUAAGGUUCCCCGUGCUUCGCCGUGCCACAACCUCAGAGGACAGUCGCCUGAAGCGACACUGGUGUUCUUCCUCGGCUGUACACACCCAAUAAGACUGGGUUUGUGACCCAUAUUUUUGGGUUGGACCCUCUCUCGGUCUUCCUCUUUCGCAUUGGGCUCACGCGUCGUGACCCAAACAUUUUUUUUAGGACCUCAUAUUUUGGCCUUACUGUUUUCCACGACCCGUAUAACAAAAAAAAAAAAAAUACAAAUUCUUGGGCUUGCCUGAAGCAGCCCGCGCGAUCAAAAAGCAAGGAUUUUUUUUUUUUGGCUGCCCACAGCAGCCUAGUCUUUUUCUGUGGGCCUGCAGCCCCACCCGAAACCCCUAGCCCAAUUUUUGGGCCUAGGUAGAAUGGACCAUAUUUUUUAAAGCCACCCGUGGCUUAGUUUUUGUUUUGGGCCCCGAAUUUUAUUAGCCUAAUUUUUUUUUAGGCCCAAUGGGUUUAUAUUUUUUCACCCACAUUUUAAUUUGGCCCGAAGUCCAAAUAAAUUAAUUCAAUUAUAAUUGUGAACCUAAAGUUAUAUUUUUGCACAUACUUGUUGCAUAUUUGCUUGCAUAUAUAUUUGUGUUUGCUUGCAGGUAUUAUGAACUUAAAAGUUCAUACUUCCGAACCCGAAGUUUCGGAAAAGUGCCAUAUGAACCUGAAGUUUCUUAAUGCACAACACUCAUGUUGAGACUCGAAGUUCUCCAUGCUUAAAUCCGUUUAAACCAAACCAUGUCUUAGUACCUGAAUGUUCUAAAUUUGUUGUUUAUGGAAAUUUUAUUUCCUAAAACACCAAUCACAUUCUUGUUUCCUCCAUUCAGCGUAUUGUCGAACCGUAACAAGUUCGAUUUCACUGAUUUGGAAGUUUCGAAUAGUAAACUACUUUAUGUGGAUACAAGACGUGAAUAAGCAUCCGCCAUGAUCCUUAUUCGAAGAAUUAUGCCUGAAGCAUAUCCAAUGGAAGUACCUCCCUGCUGAGGACUCCAUGACUCUUCAAAUCCGUUAUGGACUGUUUCAAAUCAUGCAAAGAUGAAUUUUUGCCUGAAGCAAAACAUGAUUGAAACUGUUACGUCCAUGAAUAGGUACAAUUCUCGUAGUCCAUUUGUGAGACUCAUUUUGCUCCACCUAAUACAUUUGGAAGAGCGAAAUUGACAUGGACGACCUAUUGGCCGAACCCCAUUGAUUUUUUUUGGUUUAUUUUGUGAAUAAUUUAUUUUGUUCUCAGAUUUAAGAUUAGUGUUUGGAUGUCACCAUUAUUCUCGAAUAAAAGAGUUAAUUAACGAAGAUUACCACAUGUGACUACAAUUAACUCAUGCUUAGGUAUGUUUUGUGGGGAAGUUAGCUGUCUGGUUCUAUGCUAACUUCAUACCUAAUCAUCCCCCGACAACCUUUCAGGCUUAUCCAACCUGAUUGUGGGGCAUGGCACUGCCCUAUAUUGUCCAAUGGUAUUAACUUUACCAUAAAGGGAAGCCUUAUACUCACUUCGUUCCGGAAGAACGCAUUUUUGAGCUUUAAGGAUAUUCGAGAGUAUUAUUACCAUAUUGAAACCAAUGUAGAAAAAUGGAGUAAAAUUCCUUGGCAUAUUACCAUUUUGCACUUCUUACGAAUAUAGUUAAAUGCAUAUUCUAGAGAAGAUGGAACGCUUAACGCAUGGAUUACAUCCAUUCAAGUCCACUAUGUGGCCGGCCAGAAGCCGCGAUUCCUAAGGAAUUUUCGCUAUGGAUGUACGUUUGGGAUAUCUAGGAUGAUUCGUGAUGCGCCGUUUUGGGCAUCCUUUUACCAGAAGUAAAGAAAUCAUACCUGGACACGUAUUAUACCUUAGCACCCUCCAUCUUUUUACAAAGGAUUCAAAUGGGACAUUUGUGGAUAGAUUCAACCACCCUACGGACCAUUUAAAUAUUCUAUAGUAUUGGUUGAUGCUUCUACACGUUUGUCACAUGUGUGGUUGUUGUCCACAAGUUGCAUUCUCCACACUGGUAGCUCAGAUUAACAAGCUCAGAGCUCACCACCCUGAUCAUCUGAUCAAAUUUAUUUGAUUGGAUAAGUUGGAGAAUUUACAUCGACAUUUACAUCGAACAAUUUAAAUCUCGAUGGAUAUUGCAUGUCGGUUGGGUUUUUUGAAAGUUGAACAUCCAGUCCCAUGUUCAUACCCAGAACGACCCAGCAGAAGUAUUCAUUAAACGCCUUCAAAUGAUUGCGUGGUCGACUGGUCAUACGUACCACAGUUCCCGACCUCUGCUUGGGGCCAUGCAAUAUUGCAAGCAACCAUGUUGGUCUGCCUGAGGCCCGUCACGACCCAACCUUAUAAAGCGCGUGUCAGUUGGUUACCAGAUACGAACCCGACAUAUCGCAUCUACGCGUCUUUGGUUGUGCGGUCUAUGUGCCAUUUUGCGCCGCCCUUACGUACACAAAAACAAAGGGGUCCUCAGGGAAGGAUGGAAAUCUAUGUCGGUUAUGAUUCUCCUUCUAAUAUUCAUUACUAAAUAACCUUUGACAGGCGAUCUCUUUACCGCUCGUUUUGCGGAUUGUCACUUUUAUGAGACAGUCUUCCCGUCAUUAGGGGGAGAUAAGAACGUCACCGUUCCUAAAAAACGACGCGAAUUAUCGUGGACGUCCCCACUAUGUCUCAUAUCGAUCCCAAUCUAGAUCGUCAGAGUUUAACCAGACAUUUCCUCUGAUCUAGAAAAAGUGACGAGAUCACAUAUACCAGCUGCAAAUGUGCCUGCAAAGAUGUGUACCAAAUGUACUUCGGACCUUUGUCCUGAAAGUAGGAAAGCCACAAUUAUGGCCGACCCUCGUACAUUGGCGGCUAGCCAAUCAAUCUAUCUUAUGCCAGAAGCAUGGUAGAUCACUCGGUUCGAGGAUUCACUUCCCCAAAAGAGGAGGAACGUGGCACAAAUGAAUCCGCCCCUCGAUCGCUGUCUCAGACCUUUUCAUCUCAUGAGAUUAAAUCCGGAUUACUCCCGAGACCUGAAGUUCUUGGUCCAGUAUACUAGUUUGGAUGAGAUAUGGAAUUGGAAUGAGAUUAUCAUAAAUGAUGUUUCAUUUAUAUGGUACCGACAUAAAUGAAAAGCGACGAUAACGAACUACGUUCCGUUGAUUAAUAUCAACGUAGAACUGAUUGGUCAACUAAAAUAAUCAAUCUAUGACAAAUGAGAUGAAUGAAAUAGUGCAAUAUGACGCCUUGUGGCGCAAGGUUUCUCUCAUACGCCAUGUGAUUGAUCGCAGCAUUACAAACGUGGUUGUAGUAUCUCUGGGAUCGUGAUAUGAACCUACAUGGAGUUUCCAAAGGACUUACAUGUACUGAUUCAAAUAGUUCUAGACCACAAGAACAUCCUCUUGAUUCUCAAGCGGCCUUCACUUUACGGAUGCAGAACUAUCCGGGCAUAUGUGGUAUACCCGUCUAAGUGAAUAUUUGAUCAGUUAGGGAUAUAUGCCCCUGCGUGUAUAAAAUCCGAAAUUGCUAAAGUUGAGAAAAUUAACUCGCAUAUCGGACUAUAAGAUGAAUGAUCUUGGGAGAACUUGACAUUACCUCGACCUGAAGUUUCGAGCUAGUUUUGAUGGUAUUCUGGUCCACCACUCAAACUAGACCCAAAAGGUGUUACGUCUGAGUAUAUCCUGAUCAUCUGUAUGCUAGAUGCAAAUGAGACCUUUACGGAGGGUAUGGAGCAUAAGGUUCCUUAUUGGAACGUGAGGCAGCCAUAUCUAAGUACCAUUGGAUUUUGUUGUACUUAGCUCAAAUGCACUAGAUCAGACAUCUUAUGUGCUGAUAAUCUUUUGGCAUAAAGCAGCACUGCGCCUAACACGCCACCACCAAAUUUGGUGUUAAAGACGUUUUUCUGUUACUACGGAUUUGGGCUUAUUCCCUAUGCAUCUCAGAAUAGAUCACACCCCCUUGAUCUUCGGAAUGAUGCCUACCUUGUGGGAUUCGCUGAAUCAGACCAUUUGUCUGACCGCACAAGGUACGUUCCCGCAUGGUUAUGUCUUUACCAUUAAGGAACACCGCAAUAUCUUGGAGGUUAAUUAGAUAGACCUUUUGUUGCGAAAUCUUUUUGAAUCGUUCCAAGACUCACUAUGUCUCAUCACGUGAGAGAUAUGGUCGAGAAUUCUUGUUGAGCAUAUUAAAAAAUCCUUGCGAUUUUCAUCCAUCGUUGAGUCCCAACAACGAUCCAUGAAUACAACGCUGUAUGUAUCGACCAGAUCAUGAUACAUCCAAAAAGUCAACACCAAACAUAUUGUAUCUACAUCAGCAUGAGCAUCAGAAGAUUGAAGUCAAGCAGUCCAAUCCCAGACAACCUUACCGACAUCUACACAAAGUCACUACCAAAGUCUACCUUCCAGAAGCUUGUCCAAUGAAUUGGUAUGCGUAACUUUCUCAUUUGCAAUGCUUGUAGUUUCAUUUGGAAGUUUUGUCAAACUCAUGGGGAGUAUCUAGAAGUAUACUCACUUGAUCUUAAUGUACUCUUUUUCCCUACGAUUAGGAGCAUUUUUCCCACUGGGUUUUUGCUACCUAACUAGGUUUUAACGAGGCACCCAUCCUGGGCUGAUCAUACCCUUGUGAGCUCUUCUACUUGCGUCCAGAAGACGUAUAGUUUUUGACUUAAUGCAACUUCUCACUUUUCUCCUUAGCCUAUGGGCUUUUCUCCCACCUUGGGUUUUGCCAUAGUAAGGUUUUGUGAGUUUUACCACUCCUGCAUUCUUCCGUCUUUUGAGACUCGCAUUCGCUACUUGUGCCGACUAAACGAGACGAUUUCAUCCACUACUUCUACAUUUGCCUGAAGAUCUGAUGCGCCAUCUACUUGAAUAUUUGCACACUCAAGGGGGAGUGUUGUGACAUAUGUUCUUAUCAAUAUGUGAUUGUGUAAAUCCUAAGUAGAGAUAAAAUAGGAAUCCUUUGGGAUCUAGAAGAUCUUUCCUAAUAUACUUUGUAUUACUUGGAGAGCAAGUUUCUCUCCUCCUAAUUACUAUAAAUAAAGGCACAAGGACUGGGGAAUUAACACACAAUUCCUUAAGUCUAUUCUCCAAUCUCUCUUCUUCUCUUUGCCGCAUAUCUCUGUAAAAUAUAGGCCACAACAUUUCUUAAAUUUUAACAUGUUGAACAAAUAAAUGGGCAGCUUUGGGAUUACCUUGCAAUCCUACGUUUCAAGACUCGAACUUGCACGAAUAUUGGACAUGAUCUGUAGCAAGAAGCAGUUUCAUGGGAGUCAAUCAGGUCAUGAGGGCAUUUGUUUGCACUUAUGAUCAACAAAUCCAGACUGAACGAUGGAAUAAUUAAGCCUGAAAAGUGCACAGAUUAUAUAGAUGGUUAUUGAUAAAAUAAUUAAUUAAGCAUACAAACUUGAAGAAAAAUGAAAUAAAUAAAUAAUGGAUUUGGCAUGUAUAGUUGCAAGAGGAACUUACUGCGUUGGAGUUUUCAGAUGAUGAUGAAGAUGAAGGGACUUGUUUCCAUAGAUCACUAAGAUCAACAGAUCUAGAUUACUUUAGAGCUCUUCAAUUUGCUGAGAUAAUUAGGUGUUGAAAGACCAUAACGAAGUCUUCUUCCUUCUGCCCAAAAGGAAAGUUAGAUUCCUCUUUUUCCUCUCUUU